UGGGGAAUUUUGGACAAUGGGGGAAACCCUGAUCCAGCCAUCCCGCGUGUGCGAUGAAGGCCUUCGGGUUGUAAAUCACUUUUGGCAGGAAAGAAACGUCAUGGGUUAAUACCCCGUGAAACUGACGGUACCUGCAGAAUAAGCACCGGCUAACUACUUGCCAGCAGCCGCGGUAAUACGUAGGGUGCAAUCGUUAAUCGGAAUUACUGGGCGUAAAGCGUGCGCAGGCGGUUCGGAAAGAAAGAUGUGAAAUCCCAGAGCUCAACUUUGGAACUGCAUUUUUAACUACCGGGCUAGAGUGUGUCGGAGGGGGGUGGAAUUCCGCGUGUAGCAGUGAAAUGCGUAGCUAUGCGGAGGAACACCGAUGGCGAAGGCAGCCUCCUGGGAUAACACUGACGCUAAUGCACGAAAGCGUGGGGAGCAAACAGG
rnacentral:rRNA from 1 species